rnacentral:rRNA from 1 species
GCAUGUCUAAGUAUAAGCAAUUCUAUACUGUGAAACUGCGAAUGGCUCAUUAAAUCAGUUAUCGUUUAUUUGAUAGUACCUUACUACUUGGAUAACCGUGGUAAUUCUAGAGCUAAUACAUGCUAAAAACCCCGACUUCGGAAGGGGUGUAUUUAUUAGAUAAAAAACCAAUGCCCUUCGGGGCUCCUUGGUGAAUCAUGAUAACUUAACGAAUCGCAUGGCCUUGCGCCGGCGAUGGUUCAUUCAAAUUUCUGCCCUAUCAACUUUCGAUUGUAGGAUAGUGGCCUACAAUGGUUUCAACGGGUAACGGGGAAUUAGGGUUCUAUUCCGGAGAGGGAGCCUGAGAAACGGCUACCACAUCCAAGGAAGGCAGCAGGCGCGCAAAUUACCCAAUCCCGAUACGGGGAGGUAGUGACAAUAAAUACUGAUACAGGGCUCUUUUGGGUCUUGUAAUUGGAAUGAGUACAAUUUAAAUACCUUAACGAGGAACAAUUGGAGGGCAAGUCUGGUGCCAGCAGCCGCGGUAAUUCCAGCUCCAAUAGCGUAUAUUAAAGUUGUUGCAGUUAAAAAGCUCGUAGUUGAACCUUGGGCCUGGCUGGCCGGUCUGCCUCACCGCAUGUACUGGUUCGGCCGGGUCUUUCCUCCUGGGGAUCCGCAUGCCCUUCACUGGGUGUGUUGGGGAACCAGGACUUUUACUUUGAAAAAAUUAGAGUGUUCAAAGCAGGCCUUUGCUCGAAUACAUUAGCAUGGAAUAAUAGAAUAGGACGUGCGGUCCUAUUUUGUUGGUUUCUAGGACCGCCGUAAUGAUUAAUAGGGAUAGUCGGGGGCAUCAGUAUUCAGUUGUCAGAGGUGAAAUUCUUGGAUUUACUGAAGACUAACUACUGCGAAAGCAUUUGCCAAGGAUGUUUUCAUUAAUCAGUGAACGAAAGUUAGGGGGAUCGAAGACGAUCAGAUACCGUCGUAGUCUUAACCGUAAACUAUGCCGACUAGGGAUCGGGCGAUGUUAUUCUUUUGACUCGCUCGGCACCUUACGAGAAAUCAAAGUCUUUUGGG